AUGGGCACUGUCUCAGAUUAUAGCUCAAAUCACAAUGACAGUGGGACUCAACAAGCACAGUAUUCAGACACAAAAAGACAUCGGCCACGAUCUACACUAGUUAUGGGAAUCCAGCAAGAAAACAGACAAAUCAGAGAAUUACAACAAGAGAACAAAGAACUGCGAACAUCCUUGGAAGAACACCAGCCUGCCUUGGAACUGAUAAUAAGCAAGUAUCGAGAGCAAAUGUUCAGAUUGCUAAUGGCCAGCAAAAAAGAUGACCCAGGUAUAAUAAUGAAGUUAAAAGAGCAACACUCAAAGAUUGACGUGGUACAUCGUAACAGCUGCGAAGGAUUCUUCCUGGAUGCAUCUCGGUACAUCCUUGAAGCACCUCAGCAUGGACUGCAAAGGAGGCACUGGGAAGCAAGUCAGAAUGAGUUGCAAGCACAUGUUGACCAGAUCACCAAGAUGGCAGCAGUAAUGAGAAAAGCUAUUGAAAUUGAUGAACAUCAGGGUUGCAAGGAACAGGAGCGAAUAUUUCAACUUGAACAAGAAAACAAAGGCUUGAGAGAGAUCCUUCAGAUAACUCGAGAAUCCUUUUUGAACCUUCGGAAGGAUGAUGCAUCAGAGAGUACAUCUCUGUCCGCCUUAGUGACUAACAGUGACCUGAGUCUGAGGAAGAGCUGAGUGGCUUUCUGCAUGGUCACUGAACGGGCCCAGAAGUGAAUGGAUGAG